rnacentral:rRNA from 1 species
GAUGAACGCUAGCGGCAGGCCUAACACAUGCAAGUCGAGGGGUAGAGGUCGCCUGCAACCUUGAGACCGGCGCACGGGUGCGUAACGCGUAUGCAAUCUGCCUUGUACUGAGGGAUAGCCCAGAGAAAUUUGGAUUAAUACCUCAUAGUAUCUUUUCCCGGCAUCGGGAGAUUAUUAAAGUUCCAACGGUACAAGAUGAGCAUGCGUCCCAUUAGCUAGUUGGUAUGGUAACGGCAUACCAAGGCAAUGAUGGGUAGGGGUCCUGAGAGGGAGAUCCCCCACACUGGUACUGAGACACGGACCAGACUCCUACGGGAGGCAGCAGUGAGGAAUAUUGGUCAAUGGGCGCAAGCCUGAACCAGCCAUGCCGCGUGCAGGAUGAAGCAUCUAUGGUGUGUAAACUGCUUUUAUACGGGAAGAAACACCGGUUCGUGAACCGGCUUGACGGUACCGUAAGAAUAAGGAUCGGCUAACUCCGUGCCAGCCGCCGCGGUAAAAC